AUUGAACGCUGGCGGAAUGCUUUACACAUGCAAGUCGAAUGGCAGCACGGACUUCGGUCUGGUGGCGAGUGGCGAACGGGUGAGUAAUGUAUCGGAACGUGCCCAGUCGUGGGGGAUAACGUAGUGAAAAUUACGCUAAUACCGCAUACGAUCUAAGGAUGAAAGCGGGGGAUCGCAAGACCUCGCGCGACUGGAGCGGCCGAUAUCAGAUUAGGUAGUUGGUGGGGUAAAGGCCCACCAAGCCAACGAUCUGUAGCUGGUCUGAGAGGACGACCAGCCACACUGGAACUGAGACACGGUCCAGACUCCUACGGGAGGCAGCAGUGGGGAAUUUUGGACAAUGGGCGAAAGCCUGAUCCAGCCAUUCCGCGUGCAGGAUGAAGGCCCUCGGGUUGUAAACUGCUUUUGUACAGAACGAAAAGGUUUCUACUAAUACUAGGAGCUCAUGACGGUACUGUAAGAAUAAGCACCGGCUAACUACGUGCCAGCCGCCGCAGUAA
rnacentral:rRNA from 1 species